AGACGUCUACAUUAGAUACCCGGGUAGUCCCAGCCGUAAACUAUGCGCGUUAGGUGUAUCGGUGACCACAAGUCACCGAGGUGCCGAAGGGAAACCGUGAAACGUGCCGCCUGGGAAGUACGGUCGCAAGGCUGAAACUUAAAGGAAUUGGCGGGGAGCACCACAACGGGUGGAGCCUGCGGUUUAAUUGGACUCAACGCCGGGAAGCUCACCGGAUAAGACAGCGGAAUGAUUGCCGGGCUGAAGACUCUGCAUGACUAGCUG
rnacentral:rRNA from 1 species